GACGAACGCUGGCGGCGUGCUUAACACAUGCAAGUCGAACGAAGUGGCGAACGGGUGAGUAACGCGUAAUCCACCUGCCCUUCAGAGGGGGACAACAGUUGGAAACGACUGCUAAUACCGCAUACUGACGUAGGAGAUUGCGUGUGAUUAGCUAGUUGGAGGGGUAACGGCCCACCAAGGCGAUGAUCAGUAGCCGGGCUGAGAUGAUGACAGGCCACAUUGGGACUGAGAAACGGCCCAGACUCCGACGGGAGGCAGCAGUUGGGAAUCUUCCGCAAUGGACGAAAGUCUGACGAAGCAACGCCGCGUGAGUGAUGACGGCCUUCGGGUUGUAAAGCUCUGUUAAUCGGGACGCGGGACCGGAAUAGAAAGCCACGGCUAACUACGUGCCAGCAGCCGCGGUAAUAC
rnacentral:rRNA from 1 species